UACGGGGGGUGCGAGCGUUGUCCGGAAUCACUGGGCGUAAAGAGCGUGUAGGCGGCCGUACAGGUCAGCUGUGAAAACUCGAGGCUCAACCUCGAGACGUCGGUUGAAACCGUACGGCUAGAGUCCGGAAGAGGAGAGCGGAAUUCCCGGUGUAGCGGUGAAAUGCGCAGAUAUCGGGAAGAACACCCGUGGCGAAGGCGGCUCUCUGGGACGGUACUGACGCUGAGACGCGAAAGCGUGGGGAGCGAACAGG
rnacentral:rRNA from 1 species